rnacentral:lncRNA from 1 species
UCGAAACAAAUAAUGUUUUUUUGAAAAUUCAAAUUCGAAUUAAAAACUUCAAAGCUUUUUAAUGACUGUCAAUAGUGGAAUUGCUGCUCUCUUUUACUUUACUUUACACUACUGAAAUUAGGGAUUGAGAGAUAGAGAGAGACGUAGAAAGAAUUCCCAAUUGCAACACCACACAAGAAAAUCCCGCCUCUCUGAAAUCAGAACACUGACUUUUUACACUAAACUGGAGACAGUUGUUGAUUCAAAACAUUGAUGAACUCCGCACCAACUAAAUCGCCAAUAAUCAAUAACAAAGCUAAUCUUACCAUUACAUCGAACUACACGAGAAACAUAAUAGUGAAUAUUUAUACGGCCUUCCUGCGAGUUCCAAAGGGAGCCAUAGAAACUACUGCUCUCAUAUAAUGCACAUAUGUAGAAUACCAGUUUUUGAGCUUUUAUCCAGAAAAGCUUCAAAUAUCAUAGAACCAACUGAACAGCUAGUAGACAUCCUUGCAUCUUGCUCAGUAAGAAAAUAUUGCUAUAGAUUUCUGCUUGCAGCCAUACCAAAUGGACAAGUAUUAAACCAGCCACUGGAUGAUAUAUAGGAUAAUAAGCCUUCUUGGACCAAAAUACCCAUCCAAGAGGUCUCUUUGAAGAUUCAUUCAAACAGGCGUCACAAAAAGGGAAGACCAUAUCCUCAAGGAAUAUAUGAGUGAAUGAUUUACUAGGAUAGAGCAUUCAUUGGUUCAUCAAGCUAGCAGAUGAGUAAAUAUAAAUAUGGAAGAGACUAUGCCCAGAGAAACAUAUUCUGAUCCCUCGUACACGCUGCUUCAAUCAAUAUGAUAAACCAAGAUGCUGAGAAAAAUACCAUAAGCAGCACAAAGAUAAAGCAACCAGCAAAUUCCUUUCUGAUAAGAAAUACUAAAACCUGUUAGUUGAUAGGCAGUUAUUCACUGUCCAAUAGAAUAACCCGAAGUGUGAAAUUUCUCCGUUCAACUCUGUAACAUUGCCAAUUUGAGCAAACAGAUACAACACGGGGCUCUCUUAAACUGAAUGUUAGCCAAAACGCAUAGCAGAGAAGUGCCAAACAAGCUUCGGGAAAAAAAUGAAAACAAAAAGAAUUGCAAAAAAGACCAAAAUGCAUAGCAGAGAAGUGCCAAACAAGCUUCGGGAAAAAAAUGAAAACAAAAAGAAUUGCCAAAAAGAAACUACAUACAUCCAAUGAGAAUUUGUAAUCAAGAUAUGGACAGGCACCUGCUCCCUUACUAGGUGACUCAAGUAUUUCCAUUUAUUUUAAAUUUUUCAGUCUUUUUCUAGUUCCCAAUUAUCUGCAAAUGAUUGACAAACAGAAUGGGAACUCACACGAAUUGGGAGAAAAAUAUCCUGAUGUCCGAUGUAAUUUUCACCUAUCUUGUUUCUCUUAGAAGAAAUUAAGCAUAUACAGUUCUACAAUAUACUACUCUAAAGAGCGUUAACCAUAAGAAACAAAUAUGAAUCAGCAAAUGAAGCAAAAUGCAAAUUGAGACUUUUUCAUCUUUUUAAUCUAAUAUUAAUGAACCAGUAGGCACAAUCAGCAAGAGAAAGCACCAAUUUCAACCAACCAGCAAAAGUUAGUUUUAAAGUAUAUUCUUCAACUUCAAAGACUCAC